rnacentral:sRNA from 1 species
AGCUCGACCGGGUCGACGGCCCUGGUCACCAGCAGGUAGUCGCGGAUGGCGAUGCCGUGACGGCCUUC